rnacentral:lncRNA from 1 species
CUGGGCUAUCUCCCCUGAUAUAGGGAGAGGGGAGGGUGGCCACAUGGCCAGCAGGCCAGUUCUUGGGUGAGACCUGGCUGUUCGCAACGCACAGAGCCCAUGUGGCUCUGAAAAAUGGCCGCCGCGGCUCCAACAAAAUGGCUGCCGUGGCUGCAAAAACAGAGCGCGGCCUACCGCGUGGUGAUCGUGCGGCACUGCAAGCAGCCAGGGGCCACGGGGAGCAGG